rnacentral:rRNA from 1 species
UUUACUAAGAGAUGAUUUAUUGUAAAUUUUAGUGGCGGACUGGUGAGUAAUACAUAGGUAAUCUGCCUUUUAGAGGGGGAAUAACUAGGAGAAAUCCUAGCUAAUACCGCGUAAGACCACACUUAGGCAUCUAAGAGAGGUCAAAGGAGUAAUCCGCUAAAAGAUGAGCCUGUGGCUGAUUAGUUAGUUGGUGGGGUAAGAGCCUACCAAGACGAUGAUCAGUAGCCGAGCUGAGAGGCUGGCCGGCCACAUUGGGACUGAGACACGGCCCAAACUCC